AUACGUGACCAAGGCAGCUUUGAAGCCUUUCUGAAGAAUCCUUCCUCCUUCUGCAGGAUGUUUAGUCUUUCUGUGGAAUUUCUGACUACGAACCUCAUUCUGCAGACUUUCAUUCUUGUGCCAUACAGAUGAGUAAGAAUUGCUCAGGUAACUGGGAGAUACAAGGAACUACGGCAAAUUCAGUCCCCGUUACAUCUGUGUGUUACAGGCGCAAUUACACCAGAGGGACCAAACUACAACCUUUCCAUUCCGGGUUCUCUAAAGGUCCCUAUCCUGAAAUUGUGGAAGUCCAGGAUGAACUACAAAACAAGAACAGAGCACAGUUUUUCAAAAUCCCGUUGCUUGACUUCCAUGAGCAUCAUCUGACACUAACUUAUGAAUAUUCAAGAUUGAAAAAUCCGACUAAUUGACGUAUCUGCAAUUACUUAUUCAACUCAGAAAGCAGUUUGAUGUGAAUCUGCAGGCUUUCCUUCUGAAACACUUAUGAAAUACUCUGCCAUUGCCAUGCUGGGGGAGGCAUGGAACUAAUCACUUCUGGCUUCUAAAAGAAGAAAAGUAUUAAACGUUUAUUGAAAAUGAAUAGACACAAAAGAUGAUUGAAUUUUAAUAGAAGUAAACAGUAGCACAGUGUCUGUAAUAUGGUGUAUAUAUAUAUAUAUAAUAUAUCCACACCCGCACUGUCUGUGCAGCGUGGAUGUCUUCAAAGAUGCCGUUAACUUCCAUCGGUUAAUGAUGUAUCUGGGAAGGUUUCUGGAUAAUUCACCUCGCACUGCUGAUCACCUCUAGAUCCGUUCUGGCUUCACUUUCAAACAGGUUGAGCAAGAAAUGGAAGUUAAUUGCUGAAGUUUUAGCACAUCACAACUUUUUUUAGAUUUAAGGACACUUACUGAUAUUCUUUCUCAUUUAAGCCAACUCCUGGAAAUCCAGUGUGGUGAAUGAGUGAGGACAACCCCAAUGCAGGGGUCUUCAGGGACUGCUAGGUCCAAGGCAAACUAAGUUAACCCUUUUGGGGGCUUUCUAGCACAAAGGAACUCUUUGCACACAAAGGGAUGUGAGAGCCUGUUGGGAGACUACAGAAGUCAUGGGACUGGACUGGACUGAACUGAGAGCUCCAAAAGGUUUCCCACUUCUCCAUUUCUGGGUAGAAAAUGGUAUAUUUGAAUAAAAUUCUUUGCUGAUGACUCUUCA
rnacentral:lncRNA from 1 species